rnacentral:rRNA from 1 species
CCUACGGGGAGCAGCAGUGGGGGAUAUUGCACAAUGGGGGGAACCCUGAUGCAGCGACGCCGCGUGGGUGAAGAAGCGCCUCGGCGCGGAAAGCCCGGUCAGCAGGGAAGAAAAUGACGGUACCUGAAGAAGAAGCCCCGGCUAACGACGUGCCAGCAGCCUCGGGAAGACGUCGGGGGCAAGCGUUAUCCGGAUUUACGGGGGGGAAAGGGGGCGCAGCCGGCGCGGCCAGCCAGGAGGGAAAGCCCGGGGCCCACCCCCGGGACUGCUCUUGGAACUGCGUGGCUGGAGGGCAGUCGGGGCAGGCGGCCUUCCUGGUGUCGCGGUGCACUGCGUAGCUAUCAG